rnacentral:rRNA from 1 species
UACGUAGGGAGCAAGCGUUGUCCGGAAUCAUUGGGCGUAAAGAGCGUGUAGGCGGUCCUGUAAGUCCGCUGUGAAAGUCAAGGGCUCAACCCUUGAAUGCCGGUGGAUACUGCAGGACUAGAGUCCGGAAGAGGCGAGUGGAAUUCCUGGUGUAGCGGUGAAAUGCGCAGAUAGUCAGGAGGAACACCGAUGGCGAAGGCGGCUCUCUGGGACGGUACUGACGCUGAGACGCGAAAGCGUGGGGAGCGAACAGG